rnacentral:rRNA from 1 species
CCUACGGGGGGCUGCAGUGGGGAAUAUUGGACAAUGGGCGAAAGCCUGAUCCAGCCAUGCCGCGUGUGUGAAGAAGGCCUUCGGGUUGUAAAGCACUUUCAGUGGGGAAGAAAGCCUUGGGGCUAAUACCCUCGAGGAAGGACAUCACCCACAGAAGAAGCACCGGCUAACUCCGUGCCAGCAGCCGCGGUAAUACGGAGGGUGCGAGCGUUAAUCGGAAUUACUGGGCGUAAGGCGCGCGUAGGCGGUCUGAUAAGCCGGUUGUGAAAGCCCCGGGCUCAACCUGGGAACGGCAUCCGGAACUGUCAGGCUAGAGUGCAGGAGAGGAAGGUAGAAUUCCCGGUGUAGCGGUGAAAUGCGUAGAGAUCGGGAGGAAUACCAGUGGCGAAGGCGGCCUUCUGGACUGACACUGACGCUGAGGUGCGAAAGCGUGGGUAGCAAACAGGAUUAGAUACCCCGGUAGUC